rnacentral:lncRNA from 1 species
AUGAUUUGCUUCAGGCCACAGGCGCUGGGGUGCUGGAUGCCACCCGAAGCGUUGCGUAGAAGCGUCCCCGUGCUGCGGGUGCUGCGGUUACCACGGCGGUGCCAAAGCAGAGCCCGAGCAGCAGAGAAGGAGGCUCCUGCCUCACCCUGCCGCGGGGCUGCGGUGCUAAUGGGGCCGUUGCUCUGCCUCACAGGCCCUGACGAACCUCUACCUUCAUUUUGCAGGCUGCGGAGGAAGAACAAGGUCUGCGUGAUGGCUUGUGCAGCGGUGAAUAUGAAUGCUCAACUCUGGCAGGGCUUAACUUUGUGUAUGAAGAGGGAAAAAAAAAUCCUGUGUGCUUCUUUAAUACACAGAUGGUUUCCCAAGCAUUGA